rnacentral:rRNA from 1 species
GUGGGGAAUCUUCCGCAAUGGACGAAAGUCUGACGGAGCAACGCCGUGUGAGUGAUGAAGGUCUUCGGAUUGUAAAGCUCUGUUAAUCGGGACGAAAGAGCCUAGUGUGAAUAAUGCUAGGAAGUGACGGUACCGGAAUAGAAAGCCACGGCUAACUACGUGCCAGCAGCCGCGGUAAUACGUAGGUGGCAAGCGUUGUCCGGAAUUAUUGGGCGUAAAGCGCGCGCAGGCGGAUCUGCCAGUCUGUCUUAAAAGUUCGGGGCUUAACCCCGUGAUGGGAUGGAGACUACAGAUCUAGAGUAUCGGAGAGGAAAGUGGAAUUCCUAGUGUAGCGGUGAAAUGCGUAGAUAUUAGGAAGAACACCAGUGGCGAAGGCGACUUUCUGGACGAAAACUGACGCUGAGGCGCGAAAGCCAGGGGAGCGAACGGGAUUAGAAACCCGUGUAGUCC